GCUAUAUGAUGAGUUAUGAGUUCAGAGCACCAAACAUGUACAAGUUUUCUCCAUGUUGCCAACGAGAGGUCCUCAAUGUCUACAAUCGCCCUAGAUACGAAUGCCUUAUCUUGAAGAAUUCUGUAACAACAAGCAUACACUCCAGCAAGUUUCCUGGAGAGGUCUCAAGCCGGACAACAUACUGUCGGCAAGUUUACAGCCGUUACACCUAUGUGACUGCGGAUAAGAAAUACGACAUGAGGAAAUGCAUAGUAAGAUGUUUUAUUAACAAAAUGGAGGGAACAUGCUAAUCGGCGCUGUGGAUGGCGUUCAUUGCGACAAGAAAAAGAUUUGUGUACUCGGCAAUUGUACUUCCAAGCCUGAAAUAGACAAAGCGGAAUAAUGCCUACAGGUGGAGAAAUCAUUUAAAAAAACUUCCUUUCAUAUUAUUGCCACGUACCCGUCUGUGUUCCCCGUAAAAUAUUUUCACAGCAAAACAGUAAAUGUUUCGAUGGAACUUCCUUUAUGGGCAACUGUUAAGGAAUCAUAACACCAAAAUAUUUUGAAGAGUGAAAGUUACUUUUCACCCACAUUCUACAACCACAUGUGGC